ACUUUAACAGAACCCUUCGGGGCGAAGAUAAAGUGGAUUAGCGGCGGACGGGUGAGUAACACGUGAGUAACCUGCCUUAGACAUUGGGAUAGCCUCGGGAAACCGGGAUUAAUACCAAAUAAAAUCAUAAUGACACAUGUCAUAACGAUCAAAACUCCGGUGGUCUAAGAUGGACUCGCGUCCCAUUAGCUAGUUGGUAGAGUAAAAGCCUACCAAGACGACGAUGGGUAGCCGGCCUGAGAGGGUGAACGGCCACAUUGGAACUGAGAAACGGUCCAAACUCCUACGGGAGGCAGCAGUGGGGAAUAUUGCACAAUGGAGGGAACUCUGAUGCAGCGACGCCGCGUGAACGAAGAAGGCUUUCGAGUCGUAAAGUUCUUUUAUAUGGGAAGAUAAUGACGGUACCAUAAGAAAAAGCCCCGGCUAACUACGUGCCAGCAGCCGCGGUAAUACGUAGGGGGCUAGCGUUGUCCGGAAUCACUGGGCGUAAAGGGUUCGCAGGCGGAAAUGCAAGUCAGAUGUAAAGGCAGUAGCUUAACUACUGUAAGCAUUUGAAACUGCAUAUCUUGGGAAGAGUAGAGGUAAGUGGAAUUUUUAGUGUAGCGGUGAAAUGCGUAGAUAUUAAAAAGAAUACCGGUGGCGAAGGCGACUUACUGGGCUCAUU
rnacentral:rRNA from 2 species